GGUCUUAUGGUGUAGUGGUUAUCACGUUUGUCUCACACACAAGAGGUCUCCGGUUCGAUACCGGGUAAGAUCA
rnacentral:tRNA from 1 species